rnacentral:misc_RNA from 1 species
UCUCCGUUGGUGAACCAGCGGAGGGAUCAUUACUGAGUUUACGCUCUAUAACCCUUUGUGAACUACAACUCUGUUGCUUCGGGGGCGACCCCGCCGUUUCGGCGGUGGCGCUCCCGGUGGCCAAUUAUUAAACUCUGCAUCUCUUGCGUCGGAGUUAAAGUAAAUUAAACAAAACUUUCAACAACGGAUCUCUUGGUUCCAGCAUCGAUGAAGAACGCAGC